CAGAGAAUAGUUUAAUAUGUAAAAUGCCAGCUUUGGGAGCUGGCGAUAAGGGUUUAAGUCCCUUUUUUCUGA
rnacentral:tRNA from 1 species